CUUCAACGUUGCAUGUUAGAGCUGCCAUUGCAACAGCUUUUGGUGCAGCAGCUGCUCAUUCCAAGUUACUAGCAGACCAGAAAGACAGGGAAAUAGAACAUCUAAUGGCAACUAUAAUCGAAGCACAUCUGAAUAAGAUUCAGUCCAAGAUCAAGCAUUUUGAGGAGCCGGAAUCAAUCAUGGAAAAGGAAUAUGCCCAGAUACAGCAGCUAAAAGAGUCCAUAUUUGCAGAUUGGAUUGAUGUUCUACAACGGGCUUUCCGUGUUGGCAUUCCAAGGUACAGGGAUCCUGGUUUUGUGAAGUCGUUGGCAGGUAGCUUGUUGUAAUGGAGUUUCUGUAUCAUGGAUUUGUUCUAUUGACAUGGGAAGAAAAAGACUAAAAAGAGGAUGGUAUGAAAAUGAGGUUUCUUUAAUUCUAACAGUUGUAUGCAUGUGUUUGUAAAAUCUUAAAAGAGAGAAGUGCCUUCUAGUUUCGUUGUUGGGGAACAUGACUCUUGGAAUACAGAUAAUUUCACUGA